rnacentral:rRNA from 1 species
AGAGUUUGAUCCUGGCUCAGAGCGAACGCUGGCGGCGUGCUUAACACAUGCAAGUCGAACGCGCAGCAUUCUGUAGCAAUACAGGGUGUGGGCGCGUGGCGAACGGGUGCGUAACACGUGGAUAACCUUCCUUGAGGUGGGGAAUAACCCAGUGAAAAUUGGGCUAAUACCGCAUAACAUGACGAUGGCACAUGCUGUUGUCUUCAAAGGCGCAAGUCGCCACAAGAGGGAUCCGCGGCCGAUUAGCUUGUUGGCGAGGUAAUGGCUCACCAAGGCAUUGAUCGGUAGCCGGACUGAGAGGUUGGCCGGCCACACUGGAACUGAGACACGGUCCAGACUCCUACGGGAGGCAGCAGUGGGGAAUCUUGCACAAUGGACGAAAGUCUGAUGCAGCAACGCCGCGUGGGGGAUGAAGCUUCUCGGAGUGUAAACCCCUUUCGACCCGGAAG